GCACAGAGGAGCUUGCUCCUCGGGUGACGAGUGGCGGACGGGUGAGUAAUGUCUGGGAAACUGCCCGAUGGAGGGGGAUAACUACUGGAAACGGUAGCUAAUACCGCAUAACGUCGCAAGACCAAAGUGGGGGACCUUCGGGCCUCACACCAUCGGAUGUGCCCAGAUGGGAUUAGCUUGUAGGCGGGGUAACGGCCCACCUAGGCGACGAUCCCUAGCUGGUCUGAGAGGAUGACCAGCCACACUGGAACUGAGACACGGUCCAGACUCCUACGGGAGGCAGCAGUGGGGAAUAUUGCACAAUGGGCGCAAGCCUGAUGCAGCCAUGCCGCGUGUAUGAAGAAGGCCUUCGGGUUGUAAAGUACUUUCAGCGGGGAGGAAGGUGUUGAGGUUAAUAACCUCAGCAAUUGACGUUACCCGCAGAAGAAGCACCGGCUAACUCCGUGCCAGCAGCCGCGGUAAUACGGAGGGUGCAAGCGUUAAUCGGAAUUACUGGGCGUANAGCGCACGCAGGCGGUCUGUUAAGUCAGAUGUGAAAUCCCCGGGCUUAACCUGGGAACUGCAUUUGAAACUGGCAGGCUUGAGUCUCGUAGAGGGGGGUAGAAUUCC
rnacentral:rRNA from 1 species